GUUUUUGUAGCUUAAGUAUUAAAGCAUAGCUUUGAAGCAGCUAGGAUAGAAAUUUCUUCUCGAAAACA
rnacentral:tRNA from 1 species